UACAGAGGAGCCAAGCGUUGUCCGGAUUGACUGGGCGUACAGGGCACGCAGGUGGCUGCACAGGUGGCGUGUGAAAGCCCCGCGCUUAACGCGGGGAGGCCACGCCAAACGGUGCGGCUCGAGCGAUGCAGAGGGUGGUGGAAUUGCCGGUGUAGUGGUGAAAUGCGUAGAGAUCGGCAGGAACACCAAGGACGAAGGUAACCACCUGGGCAUCAGCUGACACUCAUGUGCGACAGCGUGGGGAGCGAACCGG
rnacentral:rRNA from 1 species